UGAAACUCUCGCGAGACUCUGAGCCCGACUUGUGCGCCCGGGAAACCCUGUUGCUCCCUUUCCCCUGGCUGGCAGCGCGGAGGCCACACGAUGCCUGGAGUUACUGUAAAAGACGUGAACCAGCAGGAGUUCGUCCGAGCCCUGGCAGCCUUCCUCAAAAAGUCCGGGAAGCUGAAAGUCCCUGAAUGGGUGGACACUGUCAAGCUGGCCAAGCAUAAAGAGCUGGCUCCCUACGAUGAGAACUGGUUCUACACACGAGCUGCCUCCACAGCACGGCACCUGUACCUCCGGGGCGGCGCUGGGGUCGGCUCUAUGACAAAGAUCUAUGGGGGACGUCAGAGAAAUGGCGUCAUGCCCAGCCACUUCAGCAGAGGCUCUAAGAGUGUGGCCCGCCGGGUCCUCCAAGCCCUGGAGGGGCUGAAAAUGGUGGAGAAGGACCAAGAUGGGAGCAUCUACUGCCCCCGUGCAGAGAGGUACCACGUCUGUCCUGCGUAGUCUGCACCUGCCCCUCAGGCAGGCAAGGGAUUCUGCAGAAAGCGAACAGUGAGGGGCCUCACCCCAACCUCUCUGGCUGACUACCCUGAGCUCCAGGAAGGGGCCGCAAACUGACACCUCAGGGACAGAGAGAUCUGGACAGAAUCGCCGGACAGGUGGCAGCUGCCAACAAGAAGCAUUAGAACAAAUGAUGCUGGGUUAAUAAAUUGCCUCAUUCGUA